rnacentral:rRNA from 1 species
ACGGGGGCAGCAGGCGCGAAACCUUUACACUGCACGACAGUGCGAUAGGGGGAUCCAAGUGCACAGGCAUAGCGCCUGUGCUUUUCGGUACCGUAAGGUGGUACCAGAAUAAGGGCUGGGCAAGACCGGUGCCAGCCGCCGCGGUAAUACCGGCAGCCAAGUGAUGGCCGAUCUUAUUGGGCCUAAAGCGUCCGUAGCUGGCCGCGCAAGUCCAUCGGGAAAUCCACCUGCUCAACAGGUGGGCGCCCGGUAGAAACUGCGUGGCUUGGGACCGGAAGGCGCGACGGGUACGUCCGGGGUAGGAGUGAAAUCCCGUAAUCCUGGACGGACCGCCGAUGGCGAAAGCACGUCGCGAGGACGGAUCCGACAGUGAGGGACGAAAGCCAGGGUCUCGAACCGGAUUAGAUACCCGGGUAGUCCUGGCCGUAAACAAUGUCUGCUAGGUGUGGCUCCCACUACGAGUGGGUGCUGUGCCGUAGGGAAGCCGCUAAGCAGACCGCCUGGGAAGUACGUCCGCAAGGAUGAAACUUAAAGGAAUUGGCGGGGGAGCACUACAACCGGAGGAGCCUGCGGUUUAAU